rnacentral:rRNA from 1 species
CCUGACGCAGCAACGCCGCGUGCGGGAUGACGGCCUUCGGGUUGUAAACCGCUUUCAGCAGGGACGAAGCAACACGUGACGGUACCUGCAGAAGAAGCACCGGCCAACUACGUGCCAGCAGCCGCGGUGAUACGUAGGGUGCGAGCGUUGUCCGGAAUUAUUGGGCGUAAAGAGCUUGUAGGCGGUCUAUUGCGUCGAAAGUGAAAACUCAGGGCUCAACCCUGAGCCUGCUCUCGAUACGGGUAGACUUGAGGGAUGUAGGGGAGAACGGAAUUCUUGGUGGAGCGGUGGAAUGCGCAGAUAUCAGGAGGAACACCGGUGGCGAAGGCGGUUCUCUGGACAUUUCCUGACGCUGAGAAGCGAAAGCGUGGGUAGCAAACAGGCUUAGAUACCCUGGUAGUCCACGCCGUAAACGGUGGGUACUAGGUGUGGGGGACAUUCCACGUUCUCCGUGCCGCAGCUAACGCAUUAAGUACCCCGCCUGGGGAGUACGGCCGCAAGGCUAAAACUCAAAGGAAUUGACGGGGCCCCGCACAAGCGGCGGAGCAUGCGGAUUAAUUCGAUGCAACGCGAAGAACCUUACCUGGGUUUGACAUAUGCCGGAAAGGCCUAGAGAUAGGCCCCCCCUUGUGGU